GACGAACCGUGCGAACGUUGUUCGGAAUCAUUGGGCUUAAAGGGCGCGUAGGCGGGGUGGCAAGUCUGUGGUGAAAUCCUCCGGCUCAACCGGAGAACUGCCGUGGAUACUGCCAUUCUUGAGGGGUGUAGGGGCAUGCGGAACUUCCGGUGGAGCGGUGAAAUGCGUAGAUAUCGGAAGGAACACCGGUGGCGAAAGCGGCGUGCUGGACACCUUCUGACGCUGAGGCGCGAAAGCCAGGGGAGCAAACGGGAUUAGAUACCCCGGUAGUCCUGGCCCUAAACGUUGGGUACUAGAUUGUGGACUGGACAUGGGUUCACAGUCGAAGCAAAAGUGUUAAGUACCCCGCCUGGGGAGUAUGGUCGCAAGGCUGAA
rnacentral:rRNA from 1 species